AUCACCUGUUGGGACAAGGGUAGACCGGAACGGGUAGGCUUAGGAGAAAUAUUUCCUAUUACUGCUUUGGAGAAGCUGCUGUGGCUGUUGCCGACUUCUUUGUUCUGGUCAGAGAAGGAAGCCAAAUGCCUGAGCCAGAGCCUAGUGCACUGACCAGGUGAGGGCUUUAGGCCACCUCAGGGCCUUGAAUCCAGAAUCAAGAGCCACAGAGAAUGAGGAACGGUUGUGGGAUCCUCUGUGGGUUAGGAUCAGAGACUUCUCUUUACAGCCAGAAAAAUGGCCAUUCCAGAGGGAAAUUGGAAAUCGUCUUCGGGCCCGAGCCUUUCUUCGUUCCUGCCUUUCUUCAGGGGUUGGAAUGUUCUGCAGCACAGACCUCAGGUGGGUGAGAUCAGACUCAGAGCUCACAAAAGCCAGCCAGGAAGCGGAGAGCUGGAGCUUCCGAGUCCUAUUAUCUAACAAGGGUUGGGUGUGGGUGGGAUUCGUGCCUACCUGCAGAGAGGCCUCCAAAAAUCAACCUUAUCUUGACCUUUCCUGUGAGCCAGCACGCGUGCGCUCAAAUUUUAACAAACAUCAUGACCUUUACUUAAUAAAGCCCUGGGGGAAAGCCAGGGCAAAUGUUCCCACUUUGAAGUGCUUCAUAAACGACGUGGCGUCUUCCAUGUGUGAGGAUGACAGGAGUAGCCCACUGUCACCUGAGUCAUAUUUUCCAGAUGUGGUGAGGGGAAAACAGCCAGCUGGUGUCACGGGGAAAGUGCUGUAUUCAAGUGUUGGUCAGGGUGUUGGCCAGUCACACGGUGCCAUGCCGCUGUUGCUAGUCCCACCUCCUCACGUUGCCACUUCUCACCUGUGAUAUGGAGAUGGCGAGGGGACUAAGCCGUGCCUGGUAUUUCUCCCCUAGAAUGUGUGCACUCAUAGUUGUGAGAGCUCUUGAAAAAAAAAAAUCACAUGCCAAUGACUUGACAGGCUGCGUAGGGGAAAUGUACACUGAACUCAGGGUUUAAAGACUCAGGUUGGAUCUGAGUACUUCUUAGUUAUGUAAAUUUAGGCAAGUUACUUAAGGCCUCAAGCCCUCCGUUUCUUCACCUGUCAAAUGGGUAUAAUCCCCUGGACCUGACUCCCUCAAGAGGUGGGUUAAGUGAGAUGGAAACGCACAGGAAGUGCUGUUAUUUGAUGCCGUCACAGGUGAGGUGCUCUUAUUUGGGCCACCAGGGCAGGGUCUUUCUUGGCCUCCAUCCUCUCUCAAGGGAGAAGAGCAUCUGCCAGUUGCCCUAGUAACCUGGACCAACGGCUGGCUUCCUGUAGGGGCUUUCCUGCUCGCGCACAGUUUCGGUUUCCCCUCUUAACCCCUGCCAGUGGCUUAGAGUGGUGGUGGAGGGGUGCAGGUUGCUCGAGCGGAGGCCCUCUGCAGACCAUGCUCCCUCCACUGGCAUCGCUUGCCACGACUUUGCCCUGCUCUGCAAAAUGGAAAAGAGAACCUGGUUAUGCAUCUCACUGGUUUUUCUGCUUUCUUUUCAUGACUCAUUUUCGGGAGUAUUUCAGAUCUUUGGAGAAAAGGACUACUAUUCAUCCCCAAAUGAGGAGGGCAGGCUGACUGGAAUGGAAAAGAGUUGACCUGGACCUGCUGGUUGGAGUUGCUGGUUCCCUUCAGUUGUGCUCAUGUUGACUACUGGUCUCAUGUGGCUUGUGACUAGAACCUACAUCAAGAAGGAAAAUUCUC